rnacentral:rRNA from 1 species
AGUGAACGCUGGCGGUAGGCCUAACACAUGCAAGUCGAACGGCAGCACAGUAAGAGCUUGCUCUUACGGGUGGCGAGUGGCGGACGGGUGAGGAAUACAUCGGAAUCUACUUUUUCGUGGGGGAUAACGUAGGGAAACUUACGCUAAUACCGCAUACGACCUACGGGUGAAAGCAGGGGAUCUUCGGACCUUGCGCGAUUGAAUGAGCCGAUGUCGGAUUAGCUAGUUGGCGGGGUAAAGGCCCACCAAGGCGACGAUCCGUAGCUGGUCUGAGAGGAUGAUCAGCCACACUGGAACUGAGACACGGUCCAGACUCCUACGGGAGGCAGCAGUGGGGAAUAUUGGACAAUGGGCGCAAGCCUGAUCCAGCCAUACCGCGUGGGUGAAGAAGGCCUUCGGGUUGUAAAGCCCUUUUGUUGGGAAAGAAAAGCAGCAGGUUAAUACCCCGCUGUUCUGACGGUACCCAAAGAAUAAGCACCGGCUAACUUCCUG